rnacentral:lncRNA from 1 species
UUUAAAGCACCUAUUAUUACAGUGUUUUUUUUUAUCAGUGCAUUACAUAAAGUUAUUAAGUGCUUCUGUCCUGUCACCUUCUUUGCUUCAGGCUUGAGUCCCAGAGCAGCAUGAGGAUUUACACUUCCGAAGCAGAAGAGUGAAUGGAAUUGAAGGAUUUAUGUGGAAGAUUCUGAAUUCUCCCCUUUCCUGCUCCAGGAAAGGCAGGGGCCUGCUCUGAGACCUCUGGGUAUGUUCCCUGUGUGCUACUGAAGCUGACUUGAACCGUGUGACAAAUGAGAUACAGGUGGAUCACUCUCUACCAGAUCUCAAGGCAAAUAUUGCUCUAUGGUCCUUGCUCUCGGCAACAUCUUCAGUGUCCUGGUGAUGGGGUGCCUUGGAAGGACUGCGCAGAACAAGCUUCAUACCACCUCUGCACUUCAGGCUCUCUGCACUGAGGCAAUGAACACAGACCUGUACUUCACACAGGUUUUGCCACAGGAGCCUUUCCAGCCCUGUCCCUGCUUGAACAGGGUCUGCCUGAACAUCCCUCAACAGCCGGCCAGAGCAGCCAGCAAGCCUACCAGAUGCUGCACAGAAGCAACACUGGCAGUAAGAUUAUUCCUUACACUAAAAUAAUACUUUAAAGUUCCUAUUUUGUCAACUGAGAUUAUAGCUCAAUUU